AGGCAGCCUACUUGUUAAAAAAAACAAUGACAUGAGAGGUGUUUAACUGCUCCUACAUCAAAUUAUGCUUCUGCUCUUCAGACUUGCUGAGAUUUUUAUUGUCUUUGAAGCUGGUCUAGUAGUCUUAAGCACAUU
rfam:Eutrema salsugineum unplaced genomic scaffold scaffold_2, whole genome shotgun sequence.